UACGUAGGGUGCGAGCGUUAAUCGGAAUUACUGGGCGUAAAGCGUGCGCAGGCGGUUUGCUAAGACCGAUGUGAAAUCCCCGGGCUUAACCUGGGAACUGCGCUUGUUACUGGCAAGCUGGAGUGUGGCAGAGGGGGGUGGAAUUCCACGUGUAGCAGUGAAAUGCGUAGAGAUGUGGAGGAACACCGAUGGCGAAGGCAGCCCCCUGGGCUAACACUGACGCUCAUGCACGAAAGCGUGGGGAGCAAACAGG
rnacentral:rRNA from 1 species